rnacentral:rRNA from 1 species
UACCAGCACCCCGAGUGGUCGGGACGAUUAUUGGGCCUAAAGCCUCCGUAGCCGGUCAUGCAAGUCUUCCGUUAAAUCCACCUGCUUAACAGAUGGGCUGCGGAAGAUACUAUAGAGCUAGGAGGCGGGAGAGGCAAGCGGUACUCGAUGGGUAGGGGUAAAAUCCGUUGAUCCAUUGAAGACCACCAGUGGCGAAGGCGGCUUGCCAGAACGCGCUCGACGGUGAGGGAUGAAAGCUGGGGGAGCAAACCGG